rnacentral:ncRNA from 1 species
AUUGCCAUGAAGAAUAAUGCGGGUUGUAAUUGAUAAAAGCGAAACCGCGCGCCUGAUCAAUCGUGUGAAAUAACGGGUUCCAGCUGAACAUCAUCAGCAUUUUAUGAGGCAGGUUAUUCGCCAAAAACAUUUUGCCCGAUGAGAUCAUGUUAGAGCGGGA